UUUAUAAGCGAUCAUAAAAGUGUACUUGAAAUCGUUCCGUGGUGUUCUGCAUUUCACUUGAAGCUGUCAAACUUAAAUUUUCUGUUAUUUGUUAUAUUUAACCGUACUGGUUAAUAUUCAGGAAUGGGAAGAAGGAGGUCAAAAAGAAAAGCCCCCACUAAAAAGAAGACGUUGGGGACUUUAGAGAAUCAAUUCAAUUGUCCGUUCUGCAAUCACGAAAAAUCAUGUGAUGUGCAAAUGGACAAAACAAGAAAUGUUGGACAUAUAUCAUGUCGCGUUUGUUCAGAAGACUUUCAAACACCCAUCACAUAUUUAUCAGAGCCUGUGGAUGUGUUUGGUGACUGGAUAGAUGCUUGUGAAGCGGCGAAUGAUUAGAUUGUAACUGCAAUGAAGGUAAACAAACCCUUGAUUGUAAUACUUCCUUAUUAUGGUUAUGUUCCAUCGACGCAAUGUCUUGCAUAUAAAAUUAAUAUAAUUUUUCGGUGAAAGUUUUUGGUGAGAACAUUAAAUAUGGCGGCAAAGUUACCGACCGUAAGAUUUGCUGUAAAUAGUGUACAGUUAUUUGAACAAUGAUGCAGUACGACUUUCUUCUUUGCGUCUUAAUGUUUUUGUAUGUUUUAAAAAAUGCGUCGUGUUAGAAGGACUGAAUUUUCAAACAUCAUCACAUCGUCUUUUAAUCUUGUUUUCUAUGUUUCUGAAAAAAAGUGUUUUUAGUAUUGUGGCCCGUUUGGUGUGUUUAUCUUGAUUUUGUCAAUGUUUGAUUUCGUACCAAUUUUAUACUUUUCUGCUCUUUCACGAAGACGGUAAAAAUCUAAAGUCAACCCCCUGUGCUGUAGCCUAGAGAUUUUGGUUUAUUAUUUAUGGAAUCUUCAGCUUUUUUUUUCUGUCGCCGUCUAUAAUUUUUAGUUGUAGUUACGACGUAUAAUUUGUAAAUUUUAGCGCUAAUUCACAGGAUCUAGUCCAUUUUUCUGAAGAGAAAAUGACUCUGUUUUUCUGAAGGUCCUAACUUCUAUCACCUCUAAAAUAUCCGUCAUUUAGACAUCACUUUCACGUUAUGAUGAUAUAUGUACAUGCGAAGAAAGUUAUGUUUAGACCGACGUUUUCAGGUUUUUAUUUUGUUUGUUUUUAAGCAUUGAUCUUAAGACUUCGCAGUUUUUACUUUUUUGUUUAUGAAUGCUAGAAGGACGUAAAAGUAUGUAAAAAAAGUUCCCUUAUCACUUUAGCCAUGCGGUUACUUCUUCAAUUACAUAACCCAGUGAAAGCAAGGAGAUACCUCAAUACAGCUUACUCCCGUAAAAAGAAGUUUGGGAAGUUGUC